rnacentral:rRNA from 1 species
UACGUAGGGGGGCAAGCGUUUGUCCGGAAUCAUUGGGCGUAAAGCGCGUGUGAGGCGGCCAGGUAGCCGCUGAUGAAAGUCCAGGGCUCAACCCCUGGGGAUGCCGGUGGAUACUGUCGGGCUCGAGUCCGGAAGAGGCGAGUGGAAUUCCUGGUGUAGCGGUGAAAUGCGCCAGAUAUCAGGAGGAACACCAAUGGCGAAGGCAGCUCGCUGGGACGUGACUGACGCUGAGACGCGAAAGCGUGGGGAGCAAACGGG